UAUGCCUCCCCAACUAGAAUUGAAAAGCCUUGAGGGUGCGGGUGUUGGCUGCCUUGCCGUCUGCUGUGUGCCCAGCCCCAGGAACUGUACCUGGCAACUCUGCAGGUGCUCAGAAACACUUAAUGAAUGGAUCUUAUUCCCCUAGCAAACCUGCAGAUCUUCGUCACACCCAUUCUACAGGCUUGAAAGAACCCAUUCUCCUGAGAAGGUCAAUGAUUGAUGAUGAAGGUGGACAUUGGUCUGGACAUGGGACUCUCAUCCAGUAGCACCUUGGAUCUCAUCCAUUGGUCUGGACACGGAAUCUCAUCCAGUAGCAUCUUGGAUCUUCCCGGAGGCCCUGGAAGGGGUGUGCCACCCUUCCCCCAUUUUAAUGAUGAUAGGGUCUGGAAUUCUCUGGCCUCUCUGAACACUUGACUGCUGGAACUUGGGAGCUCUUGAUGUUUCAUUCUCCGUGGAAUUCCUGACAAGCCCACAUGUGGUGAGCAGUCUUCUGGGUGUUUGGAGCUGCACAGGAAGAGGCAGCGUGAUGAGGCAGAAAGAGCCUGGGGUUAAUUCCUGGUGGGGGAAGGGCUCUGGCUUUGGGUGGCUGUGCAACCUUACGCAGGUGUAUUCACUUCUUUGAUUCUGACUCCUCCUCUGUAAAAGAGGGGUCACCAUGGUCUCUACCCUAUAAGGUUGGUGAAAUGCUUGGCACAUAGUAAGUACCAGAUAAACACUCACCCGCCAUGGUUGGGGUAGAUAAUGGUGUUGUCAUUAGUAACUAAAACCUUGGUGGAGAUUUUGUUCAAGAACUAGAGAGAAUGGGAGUGGAGGAGUGAUUAGGGAGAGAAUGUUCCUUUCCUAUCCCACUGGCAGCCAUCCUGAACUCCACGUGCCUGAGGCUAGCUCAGGAAAUGCCCUGCCAUCCUCCCCAUUUACUCAUCCUUGUGAGACAGGACGUUCUUCAGGCCCACUUGGUCUGGCUUAAAAGUAUGGGUCUAUGCAUGCCCACACACUCACACGCCCCCUCUCAGUUGCUAAGGCCCAGGGCAUGGGUGUCAGAGUUGCCCUGGAAGUACCUUAGAAGAAAAAAAGAAAGCACCCAGAUUUUAGGAACAGCUAAUUGCACAUACAUAGUUUGAUUUCUCUUUGUUUGGGUCUAGAGGGAAUAUGACCCAUUGUUCUGGCCCUGCUGGUGGCCUCAGCCCUAGGGCUUCAGGGUUUUCUUUUUAUGAAUAAUCAGACCCCUCCCUCACUUUGGGGAAAAGGAGGCUGAAAGAGGCAAAAGGCCUUGCUUGACAACACGUAACCACUGAGCCAGGGCAACUCCCUGUGCUCCAGUUGGCAGAGUUCUCUCAUCCCUCCCUGGUAAAGGCACAGUCACCGUGAACAGUGUCCGGGCUGUGACUCCCCUCUGGCCAGGGGGAGCAUGGAGUGAGAGGGCAGGACCACACCCUGGGCCUGAACAGGUUUCAAGUCAGUUUCCCAAUUAGAGGCCUCUGGAAGGAAAUAAUACGUCACCUGGACCCUUGGCUCCCCUGUUCUCCCAGGCAACCCCUGGCCGAGGCCUGCCCCUGGCAACCUCCAGCAGAUGCCUCCCCCACAUUAACAUGCAGAAAUCGUUGGGAGAAGGCACAAAGACGCCUUUCAAUGACUGUGCCUCUCAGGGUGAGGCGGGAGAGGUGGGGUUAUUGGUGAAGACCGUUGCAUUUAUGGGGACUCUUAUCUUUAUGACAGAACCUCAGGUGGGACUUGAGAAGCAGUAACAGGGGAAACAACAUCUAUAAAGAUGUGGGUCCAGUGCACUGGGGCUGUGCACUAGAUGGGCAGCUGGAGCUGCUCCACGUGGAGGGAAGUCCUUAUAACCCCAGGGUCCUUGAUAAAGUCAGGGCCUGAUGGCCUGGAGCCAGGACUUUUGGUGGGGGUGCUGGGAGCAAUUCCCAGGUCCACCCUCUCUACCCCUGCCCAACUCUGCAAGCUAAAUGUGCCCCACCCUCCCAGCGGCAUCAGAAGUACGGUCCCUUCACCCA